GACGAACGCUGGCGGCGUGCUUAACGCAUGCAAGUCGAACGGAAAGGCCCUGCUUGCAGGGUACUCGAGUGGCGAACGGGUGAGUAACACGUGGGUGAUCUGCCCUGCACUUCGGGAUAAGCUUGGGAAACUGGGUCUAAUACCGGAUAGGAGCCAUCUUUAGUGUGGUGGUUGGAAAGUUUUUUCGGUGUAGGAUGAGCUCGCGGCCUAUCAGCUUGUUGGUGGGGUAAUGGCCUACCAAGGCGGCGACGGGUAGCCGGCCUGAGAGGGUGUACGGCCACAUUGGGACUGAGAUACGGCCCAGACUCCUACGGGAGGCAGCAGUGGGGAAUAUUGCACAAUGGGCGCAAGCCUGAUGCAGCGACGCCGCGUGGGGGAUGAAGGCCUUCGGGUUGUAAACUCCUUUCGCUAGGGACGAAGCUUUGUUGUGACGGUACCUAGAUAAGAAGCACCGGCUAACUACGUG
rnacentral:rRNA from 1 species